CGGGUGAAGCUCAACACACAGGCGUCUUUCACCAGUGAUUUAAGACUCCACUUCAAGUAUGGACUCGACCCACACUGGUUCUAAGUGUCCUCCUUUGGCCUCCUCUCCUCCUUUUUCUACACCCUGUCAAACAAGAAAGCUGAUUCCUAGGAGCAUGCAAGAAGUCUGCUGGGGGGUAAGAUUUCUGCGCAACCAUCUUUUUGACUCUUUCUGGACUUCUUGAGGGUGAGUUCCACGUCUGAAUUAUCUUCGUCUCUCUCCAAUCACCUUUGUCUCUCUCCAAUCACCUUUGUGGCAAUGCUGGGCACAUACACGUGCUCAAUGAACAUUCGUUAAAUGGCUGUGUAUAGGAAUAGUCUGAAGUUCAUGGAAAUAGAAGUGGCUUUUCAAACUACCUCACCCUGAAUCCCUCCGGAAAAGACUAACCAAAUCUAAUUAAUUCAAUCAAUAAGCAGAAUUCUGCCAGGUAGGAGGCAUUUGGAAAUACAAAUCUCAUGGCGAGAGAUGGAGGGGAAGCUCAUGAUGGGUGGAUGUACUUCACAUUCAACAACCCGCAGCUAUAGCUCCAUUUUCUGGGAAGCAAAAUCACUCGGUGGCCCCAGGGCCCUUAAUUUUACCGUGACUGUUUUCUUAAGAAAUUCCUGGAGUAGAGCCUAACUUUUAUGUAGGGGGUUGGCAUAUUAGUGGCCUAAGGGACGACUGGCAGAAGGGGUGCCUAGAGUUCGCAAGGGAAGUAAACUGCUGAGGAGUCAGAGCAGCCCUGUGGAGGGUCGCUAAGUGGGGGACCCGAGAAGUGCUUGAACUUCCAAAGCUUCAGGGAAUUCGAGGAAGGGACCCUGAGGGGUGGCCGAGGCUCCCAGAUGUCUGCUGGGCUUCAGUGCUGCCGACUUUUCUCCUCUGCCGGCCCAGGCUCGACCCGGGUUCAGCAGCCAGACCAGGGAACCGCCAGGGCAUCUGGGCAGGAGGGAGGCGGGCCGGCCGGGAGGAAGGAGUCCUGGGCCGCCGCCGCCGCCCCGCCCGUCGGGCUGUCCGCCCCGCCUACCCCGAGCGAGGCGGAGCCGGCCCCCGCCCGGAGGAGCAGGAGGAGGAGGAGAGGUCGGAGUCGUCUCCAGGAGCCCUUAGAGACAGAGUCCCCGGCAGCGGCGGUGGCGGCAGGGGCAGCGCACCGGCAGAUUCAUUCCAUCACCUAAAACCUGGUGACGGUGGGCCACACAGAGUCUUACUG
rnacentral:lncRNA from 1 species